CUUCUCUCUGGCAAUGUUCCAUCUACUGGCCAACUCUCCACCUUCGACGAGCAAUCAUUUCUUGGAAACCCUCUCCUGUCUUUACAUUUCACUGACCAUGGGCCCCUAUUGGAACCAAAUAAUGAUGAGCUCUCAAGAGAAGGUACAGAAAAGGAUCCUGCUAAAGAAGAGACAAUGGUGCUCAUAAUUUCAUUUAUUGUUUUUUUCUUUGCCACAAUUGCUAUAAGAGAACAUGACAGUUUCAUGUAUGUGUACUAUACCAUGAAAUGCAGAUGUGCAAGUACGAAGAUUUAUGCAGAAUUGUAACCCUUGAGCUUUGUAACAUUCAGUUAACAAACUAGGAGGAUAGUGUCACUGCCAAUGUGGUUCAUAUAUUGAUGUGAUCCGGCCACAUAGCAUUACAGAACUUCAAAUUAUGUUCAUCCCAUUUCUGUUCCGGGGGAUUCACUGUAAUUGAAAAAACAGAACUAUAUAGAACUAUUCAAAGGCUAUACCAUGACAUCUCAAAAACUAGCCUGUAAUUUAUUGUCAUGGUAAGCUUGACGUUUUGGAGCAUUAAAAAGAAAACUGGAGUUUAUUCGGGUUUCUAUGUUAGUAACAUGUAUCUUUCCAUUAAAAAACAGAAUUGGGUGAUACCAAUGUGCUAACCGGCUUGUCGACUUGAUUUGUGUGAGAGUUUAGCCUUUUGUGUUGUACACAUACUGUAUAUGUUGUAUUCUUAUUGGCUACAUGUAUGAAAGGUCAUCCCUCCAAGGUUGUGUGAUGUCUGCCUUACCACUCGCUAUCUCUCUACAUGGUAUCAUGAGAAAAGAUCCAAUCCGGUCCUCCUUAUGCUGCUUCUUUACCUACCUGCAAAACCAGUGGCAGAGCUAGUGAAUCUUCAUGCCUAAGGGCACUACCUAAGCGCAAAAACAGAAAAACAAAAAACCAAAAAAAAUCCAAUAGUACCUAAUAAAAGAGAAGGAUGGGAUGCAUAAUUUAGUAGAUAUCCCAAAGAAAUGAAAGACAAAAUAUGAAAUUACAAUCUGAUAAUCUAACUGGACGUGUCAGCAAUGCAAUAAAAAUGCACUAUGCAGAAUAAGCUAUGCAAUAUGUGAAGCCCAGGAUCAACAACAAAUAUCUCAUCAAUAAGAACAACGCAAGGCUCGUUUUGCACAUUAGGACCAGCUCCUGUUUCUACUGAUCCUAGCUGCACAACAUUUGCUUUGCUAACUUGCUAUCUGUUGUUCAUGCUAAUUCUGGUGCUUUUCUGAUUGCACUUGUACAGAUCAAGAAGGUUGGAUUGGCUGAAUAACAGGCGUAGUUGCUAUAAAAUUCAGACUAAAACACAAAUAAAAACAACCUGCAAGCUGGUACAAUAGGCACAAACAAUUGAACAAUUGCUACAAAACCAAGUUGGAACAAACAACCCUGGUGUGCUGUGUACAACAUGUGCGGCGUGCCCCUUUGUUGAAGGUAGCAGUGGCACAAGAGCGGCUACGACUUGCCGCCUGUUCUCUUCUCCCCCCACGGCGAACCGACGCCGCCUGCGCGCCUCCCUC
rnacentral:lncRNA from 1 species